rnacentral:sRNA from 1 species
AUUAAAACUAUUGUUCAGAUUCCAAAUUUCUUCUUCUUCUCCAAUAUUACAAACUACA